rnacentral:rRNA from 1 species
GACGAACGCUGGCGGCGUGCUUAACACAUGCAAGUCGAACGGAAAGGCCUCUUUCGGGGGGUACUCGAGUGGCGAACGGGUGAGUAACACGUGAGUAACCUGCCCUUUACUUUGGGAUAACUUCAGGAAACUGGGGCUAAUACCGGAUAGGAGCUCCUGCUGCAUGGUGGGGGUUGGAAAGUUUCGGCGGUUGGGGAUGGACUCGCGGCUUAUCAGCUUGUUGGUGGGGUAGUGGCUUACCAAGGCUUUGACGGGUAGCCGGCCUGAGAGGGUGACCGGCCACAUUGGGACUGAGAUACGGCCCAGACUCCGACGGGAGGCAGCAGUGGGGAAUAUUGCACAAUGGGUGGAAGCCUGAUGCAGCAACGCCGUGUGCGGGAUGACGGCCUUCGGGUUGUAAACCGCUUUCGCUCAUGACGAAGCUUUGUGUGACGGUAGUGGGUAAAGAAGCACCGGCUAACUACGUG